GAUGAACGCUGGCGGCGUGCUUAACACAUGCAAGUCGAACGAUGAACCUCACUUGUGGGGGGAUUAGUGGCGCACGGGUGAGUAACACGUGAGUAACCUGCCCUUGACUCUGGGAUAAGCCUGGGAAACCGGGUCUAAUACUGGAUACGACCUUCUGGCGCAUGCCAUGUUGGUGGAAAGCUUUUGUGGUUUUGGAUGGACUCGCGGCCUAUCAGCUUGUUGGUGGGGUAAUGGCCUACCAAGGCGACGACGGGUAGCCGGCCUGAGAGGGUGACCGGCCACACUGGGACUGAGACACGGCCCAG
rnacentral:rRNA from 1 species